rnacentral:rRNA from 1 species
AGUGAACGCUGGCGGCGUGCCUAAUACAUGCAAGUCGAACGAUGAAGUCCUAGCUUGCUAGGAUGGAUUAGUGGCGCACGGGUGAGUAAUAUAUAGUUAAUCUGCGCUACACAGAGGAACAACAGUUGGAAACGACUGCUAAUACCUCAUACUCCUAUUUGACAUAAGUUAAAUAGGGAAAGUCUUUUCGGUGUAGGAUGAGACUAUAUCGUAUCAGCUAGUUGGUAAGGUAAUGGCUUACCAAGGCUAUGACGCGUAACUGGUCUGAGAGGAUGAUCAGUCACAUUGGAACUGAGACACGGUCCAAACUCCUACGGGAGGCAGCAGUAAGGAAUAUUGCGCAAUGGGGGAAACCCUGACGCAGCAACGCCGCGUGGAGGAUGACACUUUUCGGAGCGUAAACUCCUUUUAUCAGGAAAGAAUAAUGACGGUACCUGAUGAAUAAGCACCGGCUAACUCCGUG